rfam:Paramesorhizobium deserti strain A-3-E Scaffold2, whole genome shotgun sequence.
CACACACGGGCUUGGGCUGGUAUCGGGAGAAAUCCGGUACGGCCUCCGGUGGCGGGCAACCGCCUCAUCCCGUGGAGGUUCAACCGGAAAAGGAAAAUUA